rnacentral:lncRNA from 1 species
UUUUUUUUUUUUUGGUCUUUUUAAGGCCGCUCUUACGGCCUUUGGAAGUUCCCAGGCUAGGGGUUGAACUGGAGCUGCUGCUGCCAGGUUACACCACAGCCACACGGGAUCCAAACUUUGUCUGAGAUCACCGAAGCUCAUGGCAAUGCCAGAUCCUUUAACCCACUGAGAGAUGCCAGGGAUCAAACCCACGUCCUCAUAAAUACUAGUCAGGUUCUUAACCCACUGAGCCACAAGAGAAACUCCCCUUGGUGGGUCUAAAGAGCAGCAGUCUGUUGAGCCCCCUGUGUCAGGUGGGACCAGGAUCCACCCUUCUUAUCCUCAUGUAUUCAGACUCUAACCAACCAGGACAUUGUCCCCAGUGCACCAUCAAUCAGCCCAGGUAGCAGGAGGACAGGUCCCAGGAUCACCCUCUCUGUUACACCUGCUGCUCUGACUGUGGGAACCAUCUGUUUAGAUUUCCCAGAAACAGUCUGCAUUUCAGAUACUCUUUCUGUGAGCCCGUACCUCUUAAUUUUUCAUUCGGAAAGCUGGUCUCCAUAGCCAGGGCUAUCGCUGUUGCUCACGGAUGGUUUUGUUGAAUUCCACCAGGUGGCACAGUUCAUCUGGUUUGUCAAGAUCAAAACUGAGCGGAAGAUGCCAGAGGUGAGAUCGUCAGGAAGAGCGGGAACCAGGUGAGCUGCUCUCUGUCCCUCCUGCUGGGGGGGCCAGGGCUGGACUCCAGGGUCAUGCUCCCCACACUGGUAGUGGCCUGUUUGUGCUACCACUUGGGAGGUGGGAGGCAGCCUUAGCCAGUGAGCUGGAACUGUGCUUUUCAGAGACUGGGCUGCACACAGGGUAAUGGGGGCAGUGGGGUUUGCCCAUGAAGGCAGCAGACAGGGGCCAGUCUCUGCAGCAGAGAUGACACACAGGAGAGUGGCACUGCUGGGGGUGCCCCCAAGAAGGAGCCCAUGUGAGACACUUCAGGGGUGCCUCUGGGUGAGCCAAGCUAUAAACUGACCCAAUGGUCUGCAGAUAAAGAGGGACAACAAACAACAUUUUAGCUUUGACGAGAGCCCCCCGCCUUUUUUUCUUUUUCUUUUCUUUUUCUUUCUUUCUUUUUUUUUUUUUUUUGUUGCAUGUGGAGGUUCCCAGGCUAGGGAUGGAAUCAGCCACAGCUGCCGGCCUACACCACAGCCGCAGCAACACCAGAUCCCAGGAGUAUCUGCGACCUACACCGAAGCUUAGGGCAACACAGAUCCUUCACGCACUGAGCAAGGCCAGGGAUUCACCCGAAUCCUCGUGGUUACAAAUUGGGUUCUUAACCUGAUGAGCCACAACGGCAACUCCAAGAGUCACUUUCUAUCAAGAGCUUUCAGAGCUGGCUCACCUGCGAGGGCUUCCUCUUCUGAGAGUCAGAACCAGGACUGGCUACGUAAUCUGUGGGCGCAGUGCAGGGCUCUGGUGUAAAGAGCCUAAGAAUUAGAAGACAGCGAAGGCAAAGCAUUAAAACAAGUGGGGCUCAGAUGGGGGCCGUGCACCUGCACAGGUGGUACCCGGUGGAGCUGGUCCCCUGGAAAUCCUUGAACCCCCAGUGUCAAGUGGAGAAGAGGGGAUCCGUCAGUGACCACAGGCCCCCACCUUCCUUCAAGAACGUCCUCCUUCCAGACCACCUGGGGCUUCCUCCCUGCCCUGUGCACCUGCUCCUCCCACUGCCCCCAUACCUGCUGCCCAUGACUGGGGGUGGGGGCGUGGGAGGGGUAGAUAGCACCCCACACCCACAGGCUGGGGACAUGACCAAAGGAAAAAAGUGCCCCCAUCUAGAAUUUUGCACUGCUCACGAUGGUUAUUGUUUAUCUUUAAGUAACGUUUUUCAAGGCAGGCGGUGUUCCUUUCCCCUGGUGGCAGCCUCUUGCCAUCAGAUGCCUCCCAGGGACUCCGCGCCGGUGGCGAGCAUGAGGGUCUCUCAAUCUUCCUCUAAUGUCUGCAAGUGCGGCUGCGAUCCGGGCCGCAGUUCUGGAGAUGGAAAGCUGGCUGUCUGCCUGCUGAUAACUUUCAGCGGUGCUGCUGCUGCGGGAUGCAGCAGGAAUACUAAUCUCGGGCCCCGGGCAGGGGAGGACUUGUCUGGAUUCCAGCCCACUGUGGUUUGGGCUGCAUUUUUUACACAGUAUUUAUAUAGAAAAAGAUGACAGUGUGGCUCUUAAUCACGUGGAGCCCAGCCUCUACCAGCCGCACCACCUUUGGGACGUAGAGGUGAAGGGGGAGCGCCCUGCUCCCGGGCUCAGGUCGCACCACCCCCUCCCGCCACUCCUCCAGCCCAGGGCUGGGGUCUUCCUGCUGCUGCUGGUCUCUGGGUUUCUUCACCACCCGAGUUCUCAUCUUCCUUCUCCUCCAGGAAACCAACCCUGUAUUCAGGUCCCUCUGUUGAAAGGGGUUUCUGUUAGGCCCUGACUGAAUUACAUGGUCAGUAGCACGACAUGGGACAUUCAGGGCGUCGUAGCAGGUAAAGCUUUCCAUCAGUAAAAGCUAUUAUUGUUGUGGUUCAGCGGGUUAAGAACCAGCAUUGUCUCUGCAAGGAUGCGGGUUCAAUCCCUGGCCUCUCUUGGGGUUAAGGGUCCAGGAUCUGGCAUUGCCACAAGCUGCGGCAUAGGUCACAGAUGCGGCUUGGAUACCGUGUCGCUAUGACUGUGCUGUCGGCCGGCAGCUGCAGCUCUCAUUUGACCCAUGGCCCAGUAAUUUCCAUGUGCCACAAAUGUGGCCAUUAAAAAAACUACUGUUGUUAUUAUUGCUGUUGUCAAUAUUGUUUAUGCUAAUAUUAUUACUGCUGCUGACCUUACAUUCUCUGCUUUUCAAGUUUGUGGAUCUCUGUAAUCAGUGCUUAGGCCUAUGGAGCAGGGAGGGCACUGGUGGGACUGGUCCUGGACACACAGUUGGGUUGCAUCAAAGACUAGUGGUCCCCAGGGUAGGAGAGCCUGGGCAGGUGUGCAGCAGGCCAGCUGAGUUAGGUGAGCGACAAGGUCAUGUGGGAACCAGCUGCUCAGACACACUGGCUUGGUAAGAUCAGGUGUAUGGACUCUGGGGAGGUACAUUUCCUGCAUCGGGGCUCUUUCUGGAAAGGGUAUGUAUGGCCCCAAGCUUGGGGAAGGGAGUGCUUGUCUCAGAGCAAACACCUGGCUCACUCAGCCCCCACUGUGGGCUCUGCAGCCCACUGUGUCUAGUGUAGAGUCCCUGUGGAGCCAGGGAGAGACUGAGAGUGGGCCCUCCUUCAGCUUCUUGCUACAGUUCUUUACCAGCUUGCAGCCUGGAUAGAAGCACUAUAAACUUCUGGCUCGCAGUUAGCACCUUGGGCAACAUUUAAAAAAAUAAACUUUUUUUGUUUUUGUCUUUUUAGGGCUGCUCCUGCGGCACAUGGGGGUUCCCAGGCUAGGGGUCGAAUCGGAGGUAUAGCUGCUGGCUUACACCACAGCAACACCAGAUCCUUAACCCAUUGAGCGAGGCCAGGGAUCAGACCUAUGUCCUCAUGGAUAUUAGUCAGAUUCGUU